GAGCAUAGCUCAGCUGGUUAGAGCGCCUGCUUCACACGCAGGAGGUCACAGGUUCGAGUCCUGUUGCCCCC
rnacentral:tRNA from 1 species